UUAGAUACCCUAUUAUACUAACGUUUGCUCAGAUUAAUAACAGUUAUGUUCUUGAAAUUCGAAGAAUUUGGCGGUGAUUUAGUCUUGUUAGAGGAACCUGUUUCUGAAUCGAUACACCACGUAAAAUCUUACUCGUUUUAGUUGAAGUUUAUAUACCGUCAUUAACAGAUAAUUUUUUAAAAAUUAAUUAUUAAAGUUUUAAAAAGUUUAAAAGAAAAUUAGAUCAAGGUGUAGCUAAUAGACGAGUUGAAAUGGGUUACAAUAAAAUUUAUUUAAUACGAAGCAAAAAUUAAAGAAAAAAAUUGUGAAGGAGGAUUUAAUUGUAAUCAAAGUUUAAUAAGCUUUAAAGAUAUGAGCUCUAAAUCAUGUACAUAUCGCCCG
rnacentral:rRNA from 1 species